GGGCAAUUAGCUCAGCUGGUGAGAGCGCUGCCCUUACAAGGCAGAGGCCGCAGGUUCGAAUCCUGCAUUGCCCA
rnacentral:tRNA from 3 species